GAUGAACGCUGGCGGCGUGCCUAAUACAUGCAAGUCGAACGAACAGACGAUGAGCUUGCUCCGCUGACGUUAGCGGCGGACGUGUGAGUAACACGUGGAUAACCUACCUAUAAUACUGGGAUAACUUCGGGAAACCGGAGCUAAUACCGGAUAAUAUAUUGCACCGCAUGGUGCGAUAGUGAAAGACGGCUUUGCUGGCACGUCUAGAGGGAUCCGCGCCGCUUUAGGUAGUUGGGAAGGUAACGGCUUACCAAGGCAACCAUGCGUAGACGACGUGAGGGACUGGUCGGCCGCCUUGGAGCUUGGCCACGGACAAUGCUCCUACGGGAGGCAGCAGUAGGGAAUCUGCCGCAAUAGGCGAAAGCCUGACGGAGCAACGGCGCGUGAGUGAUGACGGUCUUGGGUUCGUGAAACUCUCCUAUGAGGGAAGAACAACUGUGUAAGGAACUAAGCACGGAUUGACGGUAAUUAAUAAGAAAGCAACGGCUAACUACGUG
rnacentral:rRNA from 1 species